rnacentral:rRNA from 1 species
GACAGAGGUGCCAAGCGUUAGGCGGAAUCACUGGGCUUAAAGCGUGUGUAGGCGGAUGCCUAAGUACCUUGUGAAAUCCCCCGGCUCAACCGGGGAACUGCUGGGUAUACUGGGCGUCUUGGGUCAUCUAGGGGCUGCCGGAACAAAUGGUGGAGCGGUGAAAUGCGUAGAUAUCAGGAGGAACACCGGUGGCGAAGGCGGGUCUCUGGGCCGAUACUGACGCUGAGGAGCGAAAGCGUGGGGAGCGAACAGG